AUGGAUACUUUACUUUUUCUUUGUAUUUUUUCUGUGGCUUUUACUGGUUUGACCAAAGCAGUCGGAAUACUGCCAGAUGAUCCUCUGACUGCAGCUGUGGGAGACACAGUGAGGUUCAACACAACACUGAAUCCAUCACAGACACAGAUUAUAUACAUCGAGUGGGGAAAGGAUUCUACACCAAUAGUAACAUACAGUGAGGGAGGAACCAUUCCAGGUCCAGAUUAUAGAGACAGAAUCACCCUCUUUCCAAACAGUGCAGCUCUGGAGCUCAGGAGUGUGACUUUGAAGGACAGUGGGGUUUAUUAUAUUAAGAUAAUAAACAAUGGAGCAUGGCAUGAGGACAUUAGAACAUUGGAUGUUUACGUCAGAGUGUCUGAUGUCGUGGCUGUUUCAAACGCCACACAGCUGGUGGAGUUCAGCAGCUCCGUCAGUCUGACCUGCACCUCCUCUGGCUCCGCCCUCUCUUUCCUCUGGCUGAACGUCACCUCAGAGGUCACAGACAGUGACAGAGUUCAGAUCACUGAUGGAGGGUCCACUCUCAUCAUCACCAAUGUGACCCGCUACGACCAUGGACCGUUCACGUGUCACGUGUCCAAUCC